rnacentral:rRNA from 1 species
AGCUGCGAUAAAUAGUGCGAAUUGCAGACGCAUUGAGCACAAAGGUUUCGAAUGCACAUUGCACCAUUGGGUU